UUGCUGUGAGGAUCCAAAAUGUCCAGGCAUCAGAUAGUGGGCUAUACAUCUGCCACUUCAAACAGGGAGUGUUCUAUGAAGAGGCCAUCUUGGAACUGAAGGUGGCAGCAAUGGGCUCUGUCCCUGAAGUACGCAUCAAAGGUCCAGAAGAUGGUGGAGUGAGUGUUGUAUGCAAUACCUCAGGGUGGUACCCGAAGCCUCAGGUGCAUUGGAGAGAUUUCAGAGGAGAGAAUCUCACAGCAUCCUCAGAGAUCCAUCAUGAAGAUGCUCAAGGACUGUUCAGCACAGAAACCUCACUGGUGGUGAGAGACAGCUCUGUCAGGAGUGUGACCUGCUCCAUCUUCAAUCCUAUCUUGGGUCAGGAGAAAGCCAUGGCCAUAUUCAUCCCAGGAGCAGUCAUGGUGGAGCUUG
rnacentral:lncRNA from 1 species